GGAGCCACCAACCGUCUGCCUGGGGGGCAGCAGUCACUGCCACGCAGACAGCGCAGCACACACACACAGGCCCCCUCUCUGACUGCUCUACAUAUUGUGGAAACGGACCAACAGAUCACAGCACAAAGAUGUCAAACACCUGAGAGCUGCAGUUAUACAGUCUCACUCCAUGGGAACAGGAACUCCUCCAUCUCACAAAUCACUUUGCACAUGACGUCCAGUAACAGCGUGUGGGUGCGACAGUGUGGAGCCACCAAGGGGCGUUUGUGUCCUGACCACGCAGAGACAGAGCUCUAUGGUGGACAGAGUACAUCAACAAAGGUACAUAAUGUUCAUCAUAAUAUCAGACAGGACACCAUGGUACUAAUAAAACACUUUUUUUCAUUUGAGGCCAAUUAGAG
rnacentral:lncRNA from 1 species